rnacentral:misc_RNA from 1 species
GCUUUUUUUGACAUUGCAAUAGGGUAGGAAAAUUAAUGUAACCAUACAAAUUUCUUGAGAACAAGGAUAUUUCUCAGAAAGAUGUUUUAACGCAACCGAACAACUGCGGCGGCACAGCGUUGAAUCCAUCACGAUCACCGCCACUCUAAGGCACCGAUUGACCCUUUUCUUUUCCGUUGGAACAUCUUAAUCUCUGUCGAUCUGGGGAAAGGGAUUCUCCGAUUUUACAAUGGAUGGUAACAAAGAUGAGGCUUUGAAAUGCUUAAAAAUCGCACAAACUUCGAUUGAAUCUGGAAAUCGAGAACGGGCGUUGAAAUUCUUGAAUAAAGCACGUCGAUUAGAUCCAUCGCUUGAAAUUGAUGAUUUAUUGUCACAAGCUGAUGCUUUUCAAUCUAAAAGUAGUGUAUCCAGCUCUCCUUCUAGCUCAUCUAUACCCUCUAAGUCGGGAAGUAGUUGUACUCGUCGGAGAGUUUCUU